AUUGAACGCUGGCGGCAGGCCUAACACAUGCAAGUCGAACGAGUGGCGGACGGGUGAGUAAUGUCUGGGAAACUGCCCGAUGGAGGGGGAUAACUACUGGAAACGGUAGCUAAUACCGCAUACCAUCGGAUGUGCCCAGAUGGGAUUAGCUAGGAGGUGGGGUAAUGGCUCACCGAGGCGACGAUCCCUAGCUGGUCUGAGAGGAUGACCAGCCACACUAGAACUGAGACACGUUCCAGACUCCUAGUGUAGGCAGCAGUGGGGAAUCGUGCACAAUGGGCGCAAGCCGGAUGCAGCCAAGCCGCGUGUAUGAAGAAGGCCUUCGGGUUGUAAAGUACUUUCAGCGAGGAGGCGUUACUCGCAGAAGAAGCACCGGCUAACUCCGUGCCAGCCGCCGCGGUAAUUC
rnacentral:rRNA from 1 species